AACACAGGUGCUGCAUGGCCGUCGUCAGCUCGGUGUCGUGAGAUGUUGGGUUAAGUCCCGCAACGAGCGCAACCCUUGUCAUUAGUUGCUACCGCAAGGAGCACUCUAAUGAGACUGCCGGUGACAAACCGGAGGAAGGUGGGGAUGACGUCAGGUCCUCAUGGCCCUUAUGGGUAGGGCUACACACGUCAUACAAUGGCCGGUACAGAGGGCUGCCAACCCGCGAGGGGGAGCCAAUCCCAGAAAACCGGUCGUAGUCCGGAUCGUAGUCUGCAACUCGACUGCGUGAAGUCGGAAUCGCUAGUAAUCGCGGAUCAGCUUGCCGCGGUGAAUACGUUCCCGGGUCUU
rnacentral:rRNA from 1 species